rnacentral:rRNA from 1 species
AUUGAACGCUGCGGCAUGCCUUACACAUGCAAGUCGAACGGUAACAGGUUCGGAUGCUGACGAGUGGCGAACGGGUGAGUAAUACAUCGGAACGUGCCCGAGAGUGGGGGAUAACGCAGCGAAAGCUGUGCUAAUACCGCAUACGAUCUACGGAUGAAAGCAGGGGAUUCGCAAGGACCUUGCGCUCAUGGAGCGGCCGAUGGCAGAUUAGGUAGUUGGUGGGAUAAAAGCUUACCAAGCCGACGAUCUGUAGCUGGUCUGAGAGGACGACCAGCCACACUGGGACUGAGACACGGCCCAGACUCCUACGGGAGGCAGCAGUGGGGAAUUUUGGACAAUGGGGGAAACCCUGAUCCAGCCAUGCCGCGUGCAGGAUGAAGGCCUUCGGGUUGUAAACUGCUUUUGUACGGAACGAAAAGGUCUUUUCUAAUAAAGAAGGCCCAUGACGGUACCGUAAGAAUAAGCACCGGCUAACUACGUG